ACUUGGGCAGCUCUGCCCCCAUGUCACUGCCCACUGCAGCAGUCCCGUCUGUCUCUCAGGUGGCUCUGCUCACCACCCACAGCUUCCUUCAGCAGACCUUCCCUGAUCCUGGGGCCCCAACUUCCAGGGUUCACCCACUGCCCUCUCAGGCACAUGCUGCCUGGCCUCCUGGCCUUCUGAAUCUGGGUGGAAGCCCCAACCCAUGCCCUCGCAGCCUGCCUGCCUGUACCACCAGCACCCCAGGGAGGGCCCCAAGGCCUGUCGCUGGCCUGGGCAGAAGCCCUGCAGCUCUGAACUCUUCAGUAGAUGAAUCCACUGAUGCGUACAGUUCCCUUGUGAUCUCAUCACUUUCCAAAAGCCCCACCUCUGAACACAUGAGGGACGUUGUGGGGCACAUUCUAGAGCUAAACCAUAGCAGGAGGAAUUCACAAUCUAGUGAUGGGAACCACAUGAGCCUAUAAUUUUUUAAAUGUCAAGAAAAGCAUGAAUCAGAAGUAACUAGGAGGCUCAGGGCAGCAGAGCUGGUGUUCACGGUGGCAUGGACUGGUCCACUGGGUAGCCACGGAGCCCUCAAGGCCUUGGCCCUGGGUCUGCACCCUGUCUGGCAGCAUCCUUGGGGCAUCUGCAGCUGAUGGGAAGCCACAGCGAAAUGGCACAGAGUGGGGAGACUGACGCAAUGGAGGACCCAGAAGUGCCGAAAAAUGAAGCCACGGCGAACACAGCAGUGUUCGGCCUUCUGAGUGAGGCAUCCGCUCCGUGUCCCUCGGAGGCCAGGGCUGCCCAGUCCCCACUCGGGUCCUCGAUGACACCCGAGCCUCCGCUGCAGCAGCUCGAGAUGCCCUGACCUGGAUGGGCUUCCACCUUGAGUUUUAGGGGGCCACAGGUGUUUACUUCUCAGCACAUCAUAGGAAUGUCCAUCCUAGCGUGUUUAUGAAAAACCCAGAAGUUGAAGUUUGAUUCAGAAAUGGCUACUGUCUUCAGUCUCGUCAUUUUCCCAGAAAACUUCUGUAACAGCCGGUGGCAGGCUAGGAGGCUGAGCCAGGGCGCCGCCUCUGCGUUUGCUUCUACAUUAACCGAGGGCUAUGGGACGCUCUCCCUCCAGAAGCGGCAGGCCCCUCUUCUGGGACACCCGCCUGGCACAGAAGCCGAGGGGCGCAUGAUCAUUGGGUGUGAACAUAAACACCCCGCCAUACUGCUAACUUACAAGGCUGCGGCCUACUGGCCUGGAAAGGGUCUGGCGACUGUGCUAUUAGCUUCCCGCUAGGCUCUCAGCGCUGGGCAGAGUUAAGUGUCUUGCUACUGUCUACCCCACGCCUACCAGCAAGAUAGGACUCAAGGUUAAUGAACAACUGAGUAAAUGGUUAAAAGCAAAACAAAUGUAUUUAUUAACACUGGACUAAAGCAAAAAUCAUUUCUCCAGGAAAACUUGGUCUGAUCAGGCUAAGGUUUUUGCAACUGGUAGAUCAUGCUUUUUUUUUUUUUUUUUUUUUUAACAAAUUGAAAACCAACCACAACAUCAGGGAUUUAAAGUCAUUCUUUCCCAGACGUGUUCAUUGUAAACCCGAUAGCUGUAUCCUGCUGAAUGGCUGCUUUGUGUCAUGCAGAACCAAUUUCAGCAUUCACAGGACAAUAAAAAUCUCAAAUUUAAAUAUA